UACGGAGGCUGCAAGCGUUAUCCGGAAUGAUUGGGCGUAAAGCGUCCGCAGGUGGCAAUGUAAGUCUGCUGUCAAAGCGUCUGGCUCAACCAGAUAAAGGCAGUGGAAACUACAUAGCUAGAGUAAGGUAGGGGUAGAGGGAAUUCCUGGUGUAGCGGUGAAAUGCGUAGAGAUCAGGAAGAACACCGGUGGCGAAAGCGCUCUGCUGGACCUUAACUGACACUGAGGGACGAAAGCUAGGGGAGCGAAUGGG
rnacentral:rRNA from 1 species